rnacentral:rRNA from 1 species
CCUACGGGAGGCAGCAGUGAGGAAUAUUGGUCAAUGGACGAGAGUCUGAACCAGCCAAGUAGCGUGAAGGAUGACUGCCCUAUGGGUUGUAAACUUCUUUUAUAUGGGAAUAAAACGUUCCACGUGUGGGAUUUUGUAUGUACCAUAUGAAUAAGGAUCGGCUAACUCCGUGCCAGCAGCCGCGGUAACACGGAGGAUCCGAGCGUUAUCCGGAUUUAUUGGGUUUAAAGGGAGCGUAGGUGGAUUGUUAAGUCAGUUGUGAAAGUUUGCGGCUCAACCGUAAAAUUGCAGUUGAAACUGGCAGUCUUGAGUACAGUAGAGGUGGGCGGAAUUCGUGGUGUAGCGGUGAAAUGCUUAGAUAUCACGAAGAACUCCGAUUGCGAAGGCAGUUCACUGGACUGCAACUGACACUGAGGCUCGAAAGUGUGGGUAUCAAACAGGAUUAGAUACCCUAGUAGUC